rnacentral:rRNA from 1 species
AGUUAACGCUGGCGGCGUGCCUAACACAUGCAAGUCGAACGGGUACUUUCGGGUACUAGUGGCGGACGGGUGAGUAACGCGUGGGAACGUGCCCUUUGGUUCGGAAUAGCCCUGGGAAACUGGGAGUAAUACCGGAUGAGCCCUACGGGGGAAAGAUUGAUCGCCAAAGGAUCGGCCCGCGUUGGAUUAGGUAGUUGGUGGGGUAAUGGCCUACCAAGCCGACGAUCCAUAGCUGGUUUGAGAGGAUGAUCAGCCACACUGGGACUGAGACACGGCCCAGACUCCUACGGGAGGCAG